rnacentral:misc_RNA from 1 species
GCCUGCGGCAGCUCCUACAGGAUUUAUAUUCACCGAAAUAUUGCGGGUGAACAUCAAUCCUGUAGGAGCUGCCGCAGGC